UGUGAUACACAGGAGUGGAAGAAUCCGCCCUCCCCUCAGCCCUCCCAGCUCUUUUCCCGGCAUCCUUUGCUGUGGUUGGAGUGUCUCCAGAUAGCCUGCCGAGCGUGACUCCCUCUUGCUCUUCCUCGCCCCGCAGGAUCCCAAGCUGGGUGUUGCUUCAGGCUAUCCGCACUUCCUAAAUCCUCCCUCUAGGGGGACAGUGGGGACAGAGACGCAGACCCUGCCUCUUGCCCCCGAAGAAGGUUGGACACUUGCCAUCUUCCUGGAGUUUUUAAAUGUCCGGAAUUCUUUUUAAGGGCCACCCACUCACACAGAACUAGAGCCGAUUUAUAAUAAGGAGACGGGGAGGGGACAAGGAAAGGGGUUCUUGCUUCUCACUAUGGGCAUCGAGUGACUCUGAAUGCCCUGGGCUUACCUGAAUGGGAUUCUACUCCAUAAGUGCUCCUUCAAGAGGUCCUUUUGCCUUUUUAAAUUUUAAUUACCCUUUAAAAAUCUAGUUAAUACAUUUAUACGGUACACAACUUGAAAGGUACAAAAGAGGAUGCAGUGAAAACUCAUGUUUCCAAGCCAGCCAGUUCCAGAAGGGUGUUUUAACUUACAACAUUGUAAAAUGAAUAAUGUACAUUUUUGGUAUAUUCCAGCUACCGAGUUAGAUGUGUUGCCUGGAUUAUUUCAAGUAAUUUCCCAAUUGCUUAAUUCUAUAAAUAUUUCCUGGGCAUCUGUUUUGUGUCAAGCAUUCAGCCCAGAGGAUAUGACAAUGAAAGAAGUAGAAAACACUGCUCUCAUGGAGCAUGUGUUCUAGUGCGACCUUACAAGGUUCAGAUUACUGUCACCGCUGUAGAGGUAAGAAAGCUGAGGCUUAGAGGGAGAACUAUGACAUCUAAAGUCAUAAACUCAUGUGGCAGAGCUAGAACUUAAUGUUAACAAGAUUUACCAAAAACUAAAGCCUGUGCUCUCCCUAACACUAUCUCCUAAAAAAAGUAACUAAAUGCUACACAGCAUCCACACGUGGAUGCAUGCUAGUUUGCUUAUCAUUAACUUAAAAUUAAAUGCAGAUUGGUUUUCUGAGACAGUAUCAUUUUACUGAUGAUGACGCUGACGCUCAGAAAGGGAGGAACUGAAAUUUGAACCAUGUCGGCGUGACCCAAAGCCUAUGUGUGACACUGUCCUGAGAGUAUCCAGGCCAGUUCUGAUUGGAUUUUCUUUGUCUUUCUUCAUCUAGUUCUCUGUCAGCUUUGCUCACAUGAGACAAGUCACUUCCUAGUAUGAAAGCUGAUACGAGACGUAGGAAUACCUUCAGUCUUCUGUCUACAAUAGCUUCACGUUUUGUAUUACACAAGCUAGCCUGGCUUCUUGACAUGGUGGUGAUAAGAUCCCAAGAGGGAGAAUGGAAGCACACAAUGCCUCUUAAGAUCGAGGCUGGGAACUGGCACACCGUCACCUCCACUGCGGUCUGUUGGCCAAUGCAAGUCAUAAGCUCAGCCCCAAUUAAGGCGAGGAGGAGAAUUGUACAAUUUCUGGUGGGAAGGGCUAUGAACUCACAUUACAAAUGAUAUAGAUACAGGGGGAGGGGAGGCAAUUGGAGCCAUUUUUUCAGUCAAUUGUUAUCACUCUCUCUUGUUUUGACUGAGAAGAAUGAAAUUCAGAGAAGGCAAGCAAUUUGAGGAUUACCACAGAACGUCCGACAGAGUGAGGACUAGUUAGAACAAGAAAUAAAAACCUGAAAAAUCCAAUGAAUUAACAAAAUGUCAACGCAACUGUCUGGGUUUUUUCCACCACACUGUGGUCUUUGGCACAGAGUGGCUUCCCCUUGUCCUUGGCUUUGCACUUUCUAAAGACAGCGUCCCUGGAAGAAGGAGAUGUGGACAGCUUCUUCCAUUCUCUUGGACGAGAUCACCAGGUGUGGCAUUCCAUGUGCCUAAUCAGGGCAGAUUGCAAAGCUUUUGUUGCAGGCUCCUAUUUUCUUUCCUCGUGUAAGUCCUUGCUGUUUGAUUCAACAAGGCAGCAGCCAGCUUCAUGAAAGGCAAGAGUCCAGGUCCGCACUGUUCAAAUAAAAUCAUUGGAUCAUAGGAGAUAAGUCGGGAAGAACUUUGCCCAAAAAACCCUAGGUUUGUUCUCUCAUUUUACUAAUGAGUUAACUGGCCUGCUUAGUUAGUGACAGCUAGUUAGUUGAAACCCCAAGGACAAGGCCCAAGUUUCCUGGAAUCCAGGCUGAAGCUUUGAAAUCAAGUAGUCUUCAUUUUCAUGCUUUUGAAAGCAAAUUCAUACCUGCCACCUUAUUGGUAUCCUCAGCCAGCCACAUAAUAUAGUUAGGGGAGAGAUUAUUUCAUGUGUUUGACACGUGGUGAAUGUUUAACUGUGUGAGAGUGACCCGCCGCCCACAGCUGGUUACUGACGGAACCAGUCCUUUGACCCUAGUUCCUGACUCUGUGGGUAUAGUUUUGUCCUGAUGAAUGGACUCUUCCAGGAGGAUUAUUCUUGGGUAUUUGCAAUACUGCUGAGUUUUUAUUAUUCUAACAAAUUUCCUCAUCGCAUUCUUUGUGACAGGUAAAGAGAUAAGGAAGAGGGGAGCACAGGGGCAUUAGACACAUGCUGGUGAGAAACACAGGCACAAAACAAUGCAAUGAUGAUACCAUUGUGAAGCACAUUUACAUUAACUGCACACUUUUGCAGGUCCAGUCUAACUUUCUUUCCUCAACAAUCCCUAAUUGGUAGAUGGCAAAAUGGAGGCAUGCGUACGCUACGAUUUCCAAGAGCAUUUCACUACAUGGGAAAAUACAAAGUAGCAAGUGCAGCAUGUAGAAUUAACUAUGGAUGAUAAUACAGCGAUGGUCUGCAGGGGACUCCCCACAAGGACAGCAGGAAAUAUGUCAAAGUGUUAACAAGGAUGUGGUCUGGAUUAUGGGGUUACAAACAUCUUUUACAUCUUUCGUUGUCUUCUUUAUACUUGUCUUCUCACACCUUUUUUUUUCUUUGCAGUGACAAUGUGUUACUUAGAGAGGAAGUAAGUUGUUAGAGACCACGCAAGAGAGAUGGUGGUAGUGACCGCUGUGGGCUGUUGUGGGUGAGGCGGGAUUAGCAAAGGAGAAGGGGCAGCUGAAACCGAGUGGGUGUCAGAGCUCAAGGGAGCUGAGGUGGGGUUUGCAUGGGUGGCUGGGGCAGUGAUGGGAGAUAAGCUUUAUAUGAGGGAGACUGAUCCAAGAAGGAAACAUACUAAGGAUAUUUGGCAACCAUCAGAAUAGUAAAUAAUUUGUCCAAGAAAUAGCAGUGGGAACUAGUAGAUGAAAGUUCCGUGAGGAAUGGUUUAUUAACAUAGUCUCAAAGUAUUUAUUAGUGAGAAAGAGAAAAAGAAUAAUUUUACAGGAGAGAAUUUGGUAAACACCUUAAUCAAGAGAUCACAGUUAUCAUCACCAAUAAUGGGACAAGUCAAAAUCAUGAGCCACCUGAUAGGGUCAAAUGAGAAGAACACAGUAUCACUUUGGUGAAAUUCCUCCCCAAAAUGCGUAGCCUCCCAACCUGAAUCUAAUCGUGAGGGACCAUGAGAGACAUUUACCAAAUAAUCGGCCUGUCAUCUUCAAAAAUGCUGAAGGCAUGAAAGCUGCGGAGUCACUCACGUGACAGCCAAAUGCAACACCUGACUCUCAGCUGGAUCCUUUUACAAUAAAGGACAUUAUUGGGACAACUGCCCAAAUCUGAUUGGGACCUGAGGAGAAGAAGAAACAAUGCAUCAGUUCUGAUUUCCUGAUUGGGUGGUUCUGUUUUGGUUAUGGCGGAGAAUGUCCUUAUUUGUAGGAAAUACAUACUAAAGAUUUCAUGGAUAAGGUAGGCAAUUUACUCUCAGAUAACUCAUGAGAAACAAGUUGUUUGUUUUAUUCUUACAGGUUUUCUGUACUUUGAAAUUAUUUUAGAUUAAGAGGCAUGGUAUGGAAAGGAUCCCAGGAAAGAUUUGUGAUAUACUGAAAGCUAUUUUAGUAAUGUUACCACCCAGAAAAUCUUAUUUAAAGGUAGUGCUUUAAACUGUGUCUCCAUUUUUCGAGAAUUAACCAGGUAAAGUUAAUGAUAAGCUAUUUUACAGCUAAAAUGUUUAUUAUUAUCCGGGUGAUGCGAUAAAAUACUUGGUUUUGCUGUAUAAAUUAUUAAAUGAUUUGGUCUGUUUGCA